UGGGUAAAUGUAUUUUUAAAGGCACUUCAGUGUGUAACAGGUUAUUUUAACGCCACAAUGUUUAUUUAUUGCAGAUGUAAUAACAAAAGUAUUGUUCUGUGUGUGUUUCAGUGAAUUCCUUUAACCCUGUUGUUGGGAACUGCUGUUUCAGGGUCGCAAAUGUGACCGUAAGAGACAUCAAAGCAUGUUAUGAACAGUUAGAAAACAAGACCUGCAGGCUCCACGCCUUCCAGAUUGAAAGGAAAAAUGGGAAAAUAGCGUGCAUCGAUCCGAAAUUCAUCAGGAUCGGGAAAAUGAUAAGGAAGGUGAGACUCAGGUGUUGGUCUGGAUUUAUGUGUUUAAUACCAGAGCUGGUUUAUUACCGGCUCAACAUGGUGUUCUAAAUAAUCAAUGCGUGCAUGCUAAGACUUUUAAGACUGAGUUUUGACUUUGUGAUUUUCACUAAGAAACAGUUCAAAUUGCACUUGUAUAAUAUUAGUUAGUAGUUUUUAUCAUUCAAGUCUAAAAACAACAACAACAAAUACAACCACGCAGUAAAAGACUAUUCAACUACUCAAAAACUAAUGUACAUUUCUUGAAGUACUUUACUGUGAAAACUUCGAGAUACUUUAUCUUCUAUUUGAGCUACCCCAUCAGGUUUUUUAUUUCUACAGGAUUUAACUACAUUAUACAGAAAAUUUGGUUCUUUUGACUUUAUUUAUCUGUCAGCCUGAGUUAUCAGUUUUUUAUUUGACAACCCAGAUUUAACAUAUGACCCAAAAAACGACAUAUGAUGUGAUUCACAGGUAAACCGUCAUUAUCUUUAAGGUUUUACCUUUUACCAUAGUAUAUGAAUAGCUUCAGUGCAGGCAUGGUUUGGUCUACACAUGUGAAAAAGGACUAAAAGUGGAUUUUUACUCAAAGCAUGACUGUAACCCUCUGAACGAAUAUGUACCAACAGACACUCCAACACGAGCCACAUCUCUUUUUAAAGAAAAGUUUGCAGCAAGGUAGCUAAGAAAGUUAAUCUUUCUGCAUUUUUAGAGAGGAAAUCUUUUUGGUAGGGAAUCAAAAAUAAAGGUCGUGCAAAACACUUGUUUUUAGCAACACCAACAAUGUGGUUUGAGUACUUGAGGAAUAUUUAAAGAAAACAGAAAGUUCUCCUAACAAAUAAACAAGCAUUGCCUGAAUUGUUAUGAGCUCUAAUUUGACAUGUCUUUUGUCUUUUCUUCUCUGUAGGCAAAACACUGUGAAGGUUUCUAGUGAAACACAGUCCUGGAAGUUGAGUCUGCACGACCAAAAACUUCCCAGCAGAGCAGCUACUCCGAGCAUUUUCAGCUGGUUUACUAUUUAUUCCCUUUUCAAAGAUAUCUAUUUAAAAUUUAAGUUAUUUUUGUAUUUACUUUUUUUUAACUAUAAAACAAGAAUUGUGUGACAUUAUAUUGAACAGCAGAGCUGUUUCUUUAGAACCAAAAAUAAAUCAUGUCUAAACAAC